rnacentral:rRNA from 1 species
UACGAAGGGGCUAGCGUUGCUCGGAAUCACUGGGCGUAAAGCGCACGUAGGCGGACUCUUAAGUCGGUGGUGAAAUCCUGGAGCUCAGCUCCAGAACUGCCUCCGAUACUGGGAGCCUUCGAGUCCGGGAGAGGUGAGUGGAACUGCGAGUGUAGAGGUGAAAUUCGUAGAUAUUCGGAAGAACACCAGUGGCGAAGGCGGCUGCACUGGUCCGGUACUGACGCUGAGGUGGCGAAGAGCGUGGGAGCGAACCGG